rnacentral:rRNA from 1 species
UACAGAGGUCUCAAGCGUUGUUCGGAUUCAUUGGGCGUAAAGGGUGCGUAGGCGGCGCGGUAAGUCGGGUGUGAAAUCUCGGGGCUUAACUCCGAAACUGCAUUCGAUACUGCCGUGCUUGAGGACUGGAGAGGAGACUGGAAUUUCCGGUGUAGCGGUGAAAUGCGUAGAUAUCGGAAGGAACAUCAGUGGCGAAAGCGACUUCCUGGACCAAUACGUGACGCUCAUGUGCGAAAGCGUGGGGAGCAAACUAGGGAUUAGAUGA